AAAGAACUGAAACUGAAACACUAGAGGCUGAAGUUUGUCCUCCACAAACUGAAAUAAACGGCAAAUCCUGUUUAUUUUAUUUGAAGUGAAAAAAUCCAGUACAAAAUGCAGCGAUAUUGUUUCAGAUGCGGUUGUGCCGAAUGUGUACUUUCUCUGUUUGUGUAUAUAUAUAUAUAUAUACAGUAUAUAUACAUACAAUAGUGGUGUGUGUCUGAAAUAUCUAGAUGCAUUUAAAAAACAUGCACACACACACACACACACAUGCGUACAUGCAACAGCACACAUGAAUCCUGUAAGUUACAUUCCGAUAAUAUACUAGUUAAAUUGGUAAAAACAGCUUUUGAAAUGGAAAAACAGUUUACAGUAACUAAAGUGCAUGCGUCAAUGGUGACACACGCACGCACACACACCUACGGGCUGGAAAGGUGUGUGUCCCAUUACAAUCCUCAAAAGGUCCACUUGAGAGAAAGUUAUUCAAGCAAACAAUGUGUACAAAAGCACAGAAAGAAACAUUUAUUUAUUUAAGUCACUAACCUUUUUUUGCAUGUUUAAUGUCUAGUUUUAAUUCUAACAUACAAAACUUAUUUUGCGCUUUUUGUGUUGAAUAUACAUUUACUCUGCCUGCUUUUUAUCCUGCACUUUGGCUAAAUGACCUCCAAGCAUUACAUUAAGUAUUGGAUCAGCUUUAUUUGUACCAUAGAUAUGCAUUUGAGAAGUGCGUGUGUGUUUGUAUGUGUGUGUGUGUCUGUUUCCGUGAUAGCGUGUUAGUAGAGUGAGCGACGGUGUGUGUGUGUGUGUGUGUGUGUGUGUGUGUGCGCUUAGCAGGUUUAAUGUGCGCUCACACAGUUUUCUAAUGUCGCUUUCCAUGUUUCUUUCAGCAGAAAAAGAAGAAUAGGACGACGUGAACGCAGCCUCUAAAGUGUCGGACUGCGAAGGAACACCUGAGGGGGGACUCUCCAAACGUCCGACAGAGCUUUGUGUGAGUGUGUAUGAGUGAAUGAGUCUAGUUAAAUUUAAUAUUGUUGGCAAAUAUUUUCUGUUCAAAAAGUAGCUCCAUAUUGGAGCCGGCAAGAUGUUACACGUCCAUUAAAUUGUAUGUGCUAUUAAAAGUGCAACCAUGUCAGAAUUGUACCGGUGCUGGAAAAAAAGUUGUUUUUGUUAAUAUUAUUUAGUGACAGAUUGCGUUGUUGUAAAUACAUUUACACAUAAACAUGUAAUUCAUUUCACCCGGGUUUUGCGAUUGCUACACAACUUGCUGCUCCUUCAUCUCCCUUCAGUCACGUCCACUUGUGUCAAAAAAUGCGAGCAGCUGAACGACUGCCGUCCGCGCGUGGACACAUUUUCAUACUCUGGUCUCUCUGCUGAGUACGCGAAAGGCUUCGCUUUGUGCCACGGAGCAUCCUGUGUGUCCCAAUUUUAUGUUUAGUUUGUCCAUGUAUGAGAGAGAGAGAGAGUGUGUGUGUGCGUAAAGGGGGGAGAAAGGGGGGGCGGGGAUUGAUCUCCUUUCUGGGUCGUCCUGCUGAGAAGAAAUGAGGUCUAUGGGAAACAGCCUGACUGGCUCAUUGAUGUGCAUAAAGAUGUUAAACAAGUUCAUUAAAGCUUUGGAAAAAAUC